rnacentral:rRNA from 1 species
CAAUAGCGUAUAUUAAAGUUGUUGCGGUUAAAAAGCUCGUAGUUGGAUUUCUGCUGAGGACGACCGGUCCGCCCUCUGGGUGAGUAUCUGGCUCGGCCUUGGCAUCUUCUUGGGGAACGUAACUGCACUUGACUGUGUGGUGCGGUAUCCAGGACUUUACUUGAGGAAAUUAGAGUGUUUCAAGCAGGCGCACGCCUUGAAUACAUUAGCAUGGAAUAAUAGAAUAGGACUUCGGUACUAUUUUGUUGGUUUCUAGGACCGAAGUAAUGAUUAAUAGGGACAGUUGGGGGCAUUCAUAUUCCAUUGUCAGAGGUGAAAUUCUUGGAUUAACGGAAGAUGAACUACUGCGAAAGCAUCUGCCAAGGAUGUUUUCAUUGAUCAAGAACGAAAGUUAGGGGAUCGAAGAUGAUCAGAU